UCGAGUACAGCGUGAAGAAGAAGCAGCUGACGCGCUUCUCGCUGCGUUUGGCGGAAGACGUGCCCCAGUGGCGCGCGAGGGGCGGGGCCGUCCGGAACAUCACUUUCGAUCCGAGGAAGAAGAACGUCUUGCUGCUCCACGACGAGGCCAACAUCGCCGUGGCGAACAAGGAGAGGAGGACGCCCUCCGAGGACGCCGAGCCGAGCCCGAAAAAGGCGUCGAACCGGAACCAGGGCGCCGAGCCCGACGUCAGGGUAGUUCAAAAGUACAAGCAUCUGGUUCACCUGGAGCGUGUCGUCGACGAGCAGUACCUGGCGGUGGAGGUGAAUCCGCUCGCCAUAUUGGAGAAACUUCCGCCCGCGUUCGCGCAGAAGACUUUCGGAACCAAAUAAAAUGAUUUUUUAGACUU